UCUUCAUUUCGCGCACUCUCUCAGCGGUCAGAGAGGCGAGAGAGUAGGCGGAAUGAGGAGA
rnacentral:pre_miRNA from 1 species